rnacentral:rRNA from 1 species
AGAGUUUGAUCCUGGCUCAGGAUGAACGCUGGCGGCGUGCCUAAUACAUGCAAGUCGAGCGAACAGAUAAGGAGCUUGCUCCUUUGACGUUAGCGGCGGACGGGUGAGUAACACGUGGGUAACCUACCUAUAAGACUGGAAUAACUCCGGGAAACCGGGGCUAAUGCCGGAUAACAUGUUGAACCGCAUGGUUCUACAGUGAAAGGCGGCUUUGCUGUCACUUAUAGAUGGACCCGCGCCGUAUUAGCUAGUUGGUGAGGUACCGGCUCACCAAGGCAACGAUACGUAGCCGACCUGAGAGGGUGAUCGGCCACACUGGAACUGAGACACGGUCCAGACUCUUACGGGAGGCAGCAGUAGGGAAUCUUCCGCAAUGGGCGAAAGCCUGACGGAGCAACGCCGCGUGAGUGAUGAAGGUCUUCGGAUCGUAAAACUCUGUUAUUAGGGAAGAACAAAUGCGUAAGUAACUGUGCGCGUCUUGACGGUACCUAAUCAGAAAGCCACGGCUAACUACGUGCCAGCAGCCGCGGUAAUACGUAGGUGGCAAGCGUUAUCCGGAAUUAUUGGGCGUAAAGCGCGCGUAGGCGGUUUUUUAAGUCUGAUGUGAAAGCCCACGGCUCAACCGUGGAGGGUCAUUGGAAACUGAAAAACUUGAGUGCAGAAGAGGAAAGUGGAAUUCCAUGUGUAGCGGUGAAAUGCGCAGAGAUAUGGAGGAACACCAGUGGCGAAGGCGACUUUCUGGUCUGUAACUGACGCUGAUGUGCGAAAGCGUGGGGAUCAAACAGGAUUAGAUACCCUGGUAGUCC